UUACGGCCAAAUCAUGUUGAAACAUGGGUUCCCGUACGAUCACCGAAGUUAAGCAACGUCGAGCUUAGCCAGUACCUAGAUGGGUGACCGUUUGGGAAUACCAGGUAUUGUG